UCAUAAGUGAUUAAGUGUUGUCCUCAGGGCUGCAGUUGUCUGCGCAGACGCAGGAGGAUCAGGUGACGGCUCUGAUGGAGGAAGAGCGCAGACAACAGCAGGAACUACUGCAGUCGUUAGCGGAGCGUGUCCUUCCCGUGGCUCACGUCUGGAGGACACACUGACCUCCAUCUGUCUGCACACACAACACCUCAACACCUCACGGGAUAAUAAAGAGAAGGGAUCCCUCUCUGCUGCCACCAGAGAAGCUUUAGAACGCAAGAAUCUCAUCUGACAGGAAGACGUUUUCUCCGUCCAAUGAGGAGACAUGGAACCUAGUGCCAAAGAUCUGUCGAGUUUCAAAGAUGACGGCGUAUACGUGAUGAACUCUCUUCAGAUGUUUCUCUGCACUUUUUAUAUUAUUGUCUUUAAACAUUUUGCUAAUUAUUUAAUCUAGUUUUAUUUAUAUUUUUUCUUGACAUCUCACAGCUUCAGCACCGCUUUUCUUGCUGGUUUUGUCUUUGCACACUUGAAUAAAUUGUGAUAAUUGUUGUAUUUUGUCAUUUACACAAAAAUGGAAAAAACUUGAUUUUUUAACAUCAAUUUCAAUCGAUAAUACAAAAUCAUAUUUUCAAAAAAAGAGCAUGUCAGAGGUUAAUUCUGGGUUCAUCAUACAUGAAUCAUUGGCAGUUGAUAUGAUACGUACAGGUAAGAGCAACAGAACUAUUAAUAUGAAUACAAAAUUAUAAUUUGAACUUGGGAACUACUAACUACAUAAGCUUAUUUCCACCACAGG
rnacentral:lncRNA from 1 species